rnacentral:rRNA from 1 species
GAGUUUGAUCCUGGCUCAGAACGUACGCUGGCGGCACGCCUAACACAUGCAAGUCGAACGAAGUAGCAAUACUUAGUGGCAGACGGGUGAGUAACAUGUAGGUAUCUUCCCUUUGGCCUGGAAUAACACGAGGAAACUUGUGCUAAUACCGGAUAAGUCUUUACAGAGAAAGCUUUAUGCACCAUUGGAUGAGCCUGCACUUGAUUAGUUUGUUGGUGGGGUAAUGGCCUACCAAGACUUUGAUCAAUAGCUGAUUUGAGAGGAUGAUCAGCCACAUUGGGACUGAGACACGGCCCAAACUCCUACGGGAGGCAGCAGUGGGGAAUCUUGCACAAUGGAGGAAACUCUGAUGCAGCGAUGCCGCGUGGGUGAAGAAGGCCCUUGGGUUGUAAAGCUCUUUCGUCGGGGAAGAAAAUGACUGUACCCGAAUAAGAAGGUCCGGCUAACUUCGUGCCAGCAGCCGCGGUAAUACGAAGGGACCUAGCGUAGUUCGGAAUUACUGGGCUUAAAGAGUUCGUAGGUGGUUGAAAAAGUUGGUGGUGAAAUCCCAGAGCUUAACUCUGGAACUGCCAUCAAAACUUUUCAGCUAGAGUUUGAUAGAGGAAAGCAGAAUUUCUAGUGUAGAGGUGAAAUUCGUAGAUAUUAGAAAGAAUACCAAUUGCGAAGGCAGCUUUCUGGAUCAUUACUGACACUGAGGAACGAAAGCAUGGGUAGCGAAGAGGAUUAGAUACCCUCGUAGUCCAUGCCGUAAACGAUGUGUGUUAGACGUUGGAAAUUUAUUUUCAGUGUCGCAGCGAAAGCGAUAAACACACCGCCUGGGGAGUACGACCGCAAGGUUAAAACUCAAAUGAAUUGACGGGGACCCGCACAAGUAGUGGAGCAUGUGGUUUAAUUCGAAGAUACGCGCAGAACCUUACCAACACUUGACAUGUUCGUCGCGACUUUAAGAGAUUAAAGUUUUCGGUUCGGCCGGACGAAACACAGGUGCUGCAUGGCUGUCGUCAGCUCGUGUCGUGAGAUGCUGGGUUAAGUCCCGCAACGAGCGCAACCCUCACUUUUAGUUGCCAUCAUUAAGUUGGGCACUCUGAAAGAACUGCCAGUGAUAAGCUGGAGGAAGGUGGGGAUGACGUCAAGUCCUCAUGGCCCUUACGUGUUGGGCUACACACGUGCUACAAUGGUAUCUACAACAGGAAGCAAGACGGCGACGUUAAGCAAAUCCCUAAAAGAUACCUCAGUUCGGAUUGCACUCUGCAACUCGAGUGCAUGAAGCUGGAAUUACUAGUAAUCGUGGAUCAGCGUGCCACGGUGAAUGCGUUCCCGGGUCUUGUACACACCGCCCGUCACACCAUGGGAGUUGGUUCUACCUUAAGGCAAGGUUUCAAACCCUUGACCACGGUAUAGUCAGCGACUGGGGUGAAGUCGUAACAAGGUAACC